CCGAACAUGCAGAUGUACUCUCGCGAGGAAAUGAUGGAAAUGUCCAAACAAGGAUCGCAGUCUGAAGAUGAACCCGAAUCAGAUAGUUCAGAAUAUACAACACAUCCCGGGGGAGACCUUUCAAUAUGGGAUGCAAUUGUUCAACUGUUCAAAGAUAUUUGGAACUGGAUAAGAGAUUUGUUAGGAAUAAGAGAGAAAGCUUCAGGGGAAUUGUAGGAGUGUAUCGAAGUUUAACCAGCUUGGUUGAGCUCAUUAGGGGGUUGGAAUGCCAGACGACAAAAAAUGAAUUCUCUGCAACUACAAACAUUUUGCAUGCCCACAGAGUCGCAUUUCAACUUGUUGUUUUGAACAUCAAAAUUAAAAUGUUUACAUCUACAAUGGACGAGUAUGAUUUCUUUGUUGCUGUUAAAAGUUUGCAUGCCCACAGAGUUACAUUUGAACAUCAAAUUGAUUUUGUUUAUAUGAUGGACAUCACAAUGAAUGAGUAUGUUUUUUUUUGUUGUUAUUUUUACAGCAGACAAUAAAAUUCGAGGUGUUGUGUG